CAAUGAUUUUCGAUAUUCGGAUAGGCCAAAUAUAUGCCCAGCAACACUUUAGAACCCAUGUGGAUAUAGUUACCAUAUAAUUCAUCCCUUUAACAUUUAAUGCUCAAGGAUGACUAAGUGUUAAACUGUCAACCCAUUAAUUUAGAUCUAAUCUAAAAUUAAUUAGUACUUAAAUUCAAUCUUUCAUAUAUUCCAUGAAUCAUAAAUUAGAAACUGUUCAUCCCU
rnacentral:lncRNA from 1 species